AAACAUAGCGACAAAAGAAACGGAAAGAACAAAAAGGGCGAUUUAGAAGAGUGGCUCUUGUAAGCCGUUCUUUUUGUUCUUUUCGUUUCUUUUGUCGCUAUCUUUAGUACUGUCAC
rnacentral:snoRNA from 1 species